rnacentral:lncRNA from 1 species
AAUAAACAUCAUACUGCAAAGUCAUUUACAUACAUUCUCCUCAAACUUUGCAUGACUGAUGGUUUACACUAAGCUAUAAAAAUUGUUUUGUUACAGCUGGAUGCAAAGACAAUAUCUGAACUUCAAACGUACUGAUCCAGACACACAACUGUUGGAAACAGAUGUUAACAAGAAGAAAGAUGACAACAGAGGAAAGUCUGAUGUGUGCAAGUAGACCUUGAAAGCAGAGAAUCUGAGAUUGUUUCUGGUGACUUGCAUCACAAUUUUUGCCAGAACUAUGAAAUGUGGUUCAUCUUGACUGGUACUCCACCUCUGACAGAUCUACCCUUACCCAGAAUUCAAAGACAUGAGUUUCCUAGCUGGGAACUUCUUCAUUGGUAUUUGGUAAUUAUAAGAACCUACACUUUAAACUUCUACAUCCAAUUGUCAGUUGUGAAAAUGGGUUCUGAGCAGCAGUCCGGACAAGAAAAGAGAGAACUGUCACUGAUAGGAUCAUGUCCAGCUGGGUUCUGAAUUUGGAUAGAUACACUACAAAUCUCAGCAACCUGUGGCAAUGUCUGGCCACAGUAGAAGAAAUGGUG